CCUCAUGGCUUGGUUUUUGCUCUGACAUGCACUGUAAACUGUGGGACCUUAUAUAGACAGGUGUGUGCCUUUCCAAACCAUGUCUAAUUGAUUGAAUUUACCACAGGUGGACUCCAAUCAAGUUGUAGAAACAUCUCAAGGAUGAUCAAUGGAAUCAGGAUGCAUCUGAGCUCAAUUUUGAGUCUCAUAGCAAAGGGUCUGAAUACUUAAGUAAAUACAUUUGCAAACAUUUCAAAUCUGUUUUUGGUUUGUUAUUAUGGGGUAUUGUGUGUAGAUUGAUGAGGGGAAAAACAUAUUAAAUUUUAGAAUGAAGCUGUAACGUAACUAAAUGUGGAAUAAGUGAAGGGGGGUCUGAAUACUUAAUGAAUACACUGUAUACCACUGGAAGAGGUUUCUAUCAUUGGCAGUUUUGUACACAGUCAGGUGAUACGUGGUAUAGAAAGUCCAAUCUUAGGAGAGAACAUGGGAGGCACUAUACUGUGUGUCUGCAGGUGUCUAUCUGGUCAAAACCACUGAUACAGGUGUCCCUCCACCCUCUGGUGGGAUGGAUCAUGUCUACAGAGAAACCUACAUUCAAAUACUUAGAUUUGUGUGUAUUGGGUAUAUGUUGUGAAAUUAUUAGAUAUUACUUGUUAGAUAUUACUGCACUGUCGGAGCUAGAAACACAAGCAUUUUGCUACACCUGCAAUAACAUUUGCUAAACACGUGUAUGUGACCAAUAAAAUGUGAUUUUGAUUUGAAAUAAACGUCCUAUUUAUCAAAGGUGCUUUUGGCUGGAGUCAAAAUGACUCCAAAGGAUUUGAAUGUGUUAUGUUGGAUGAAUUGAAUGAACCACAUUUUGGCUGUGAUAAAAUAUAUGUCUCUGGGGUCAAAAUGAUCCAUGUCAGAACUAUGGAUCAAUGUAAAUAUGUAGUGAGUCUAGAGUUUGUUUUAAAUUGUCACUCAUUAAAAACGAAUCAAUCAA